UACGGGGGGGGCAAGCGUUGUUCGGAAUUACUGGGCGUAAAGGGCUCGUAGGUGGCCAACUAAGUCAGACGUGAAAUCCCUCGGCUUAACCGGGGAACUGCGUCUGAUACUGGAUGGCUUGAGUUCGGGAGAGGGAUGCGGAAUUCCAGGUGUAGCGGUGAAAUGGCGUAGAUAUCUGGAGGAACACCGGUGGCGAAGGCGGCAUCCUGGACCGACACUGACACUGAGGAGCGAAAGCCAGGGGAGCAACGGG
rnacentral:rRNA from 1 species